UAACAGAGAACAAUGAACUUCGUUCAGCUUUUGUUGCUUCUUGUUCUGGUUAUUCUGUCCGUCUACGUGAUGGGAUCAGUUGCCUCCCCCUGGAGAUGGCACAGAAGAUGGUCUGAUUCCAGCAGCGGUGGUUCCUGGAGCUGGAGUCGUUGAUAACAAGAUGACAGCGCAAAGGAUUUGACUUCUUGUACUUUAUUUAUUUAAUUGAAUUACGUGUAUAGCUGAUUAUGUAUUAAGAAUGUACAAAUUAAUGGAACAAAAUGUAAUAUAAUUUUACUUUUGCGUUCUACAUUUGUGAUAUCAAUAAAACAAAAACCUGAA